rnacentral:rRNA from 1 species
AGAAUCAACGCUGGCGGCGUGCCUAACACAUGCAAGUCGAACGCGAAAGUCCCGAAAGGGAUAAGUAGAGUGGCAAACGGGUGAGUAACACGUGGGUGACCUGCCUUCGAGUGGGGGAUAACGUCCCGAAAGGGACGCUAAUACCGCAUAACAUCCCGCCUUUGAACAGGUGGAGAUCAAAGCUGGGGAUCGCAAGACCUAGCGCUGGAAGAGGGGCCCGCGCCUGAUUAGCUAGUUGGUGGGGUAACGGCUCACCAAGGCGACGAUCAGUA